rnacentral:rRNA from 1 species
GGCUCUUUGUAGAUAAAUAAAAUAAAGAGUCCGGCCUGCUCAAUGAUGAUUAAUCAUUAAAUAGCUGCGGAAUCCUAACCGUGUGAAAGUAGCAUAAUCAUUUGCCUCUUAAUUGGUGGCUGGAAUGAAUGGUACGAUGAAAAUAGAGCUGUCUCUAUUAUGUUUUAUUGAAAUUACCUUUUAGGUGAAAAGGCCUAAAUAUAUCUAUAAGACAAGAAGACCCUAUCGAGCUUUAAGUUGGUUAUGUGAAUAAUUUGAUUAGCUUUUGGUUGGGGCAACCAGGGGGUAAAAGAAAUCCCUCUUUUAUUAAUUUACUUACUAGUAAAGAUCCAGUUAUAUUGAUCAGGGGA